AGCGAACGCUGGCGGCAGGCCUAACACAUGCAAGUCGAGCGCCGUAGCAAUACGGAGCGGCAGACGGGAGAGUAACACGUGGGAACGUACCCUUCAGUACGGAACAACCAAGGGAAACUUUGGCUAAUACCGUAUACGUCCGUAAGGAGAAAGAUUUAUCGCUGAAGGAUCGGCCCGCGUCUGAUUAGCUAGUUGGUGAGGUAAUGGCUCACCAAGGCGACGAUCAGUAGCUGGUCUGAGAGGAUGAUCAGCCUCACUGGGACUGAGACACGGCCCAGACUCCUACGGGAGGCAGCAGUGGGGAAUAUUGGACAAUGGGCGCAAGCCUGAUCCAGCCAUGCCGCGUGGGUGAUGAAGGCCCUAGGGUUGUAAAGCCCUUUCGGCGGGGAAGAUAAUGACGGUACCCGCAGAAGAAGCCCCGGCUAACUUCGUGCCAGCCGCCGCGGUAAUAC
rnacentral:rRNA from 1 species